GGGGAUUUAGGCUCAGUGGUAGAGCACUUGCCUAGCAAGCACAAGGCCCUGGGUUCGGUCCCCAGCUCCG
rnacentral:tRNA from 1 species